UACAGAGGGGGCAAGCGUUGUUCGGAAUUACUGGGCGUAAAGGGCGCGUAGGCGGCCCGCUAAGUCGGACGUGAAAUCCCCGAGCUCAACUCGGGAACUGCGUCCGAUACUGGCGGGCUUGAAUCCGGGAGAGGGAUGCGGAAUUCCAGGUGUAGCGGUGAAAUGCGUAGAUAUCUGGAGGAACACCGGUGGCGAAGGCGGCAUCCUGGACCGGCAUUGACGCUGAGGCGCGAAAGCUAGGGGAGCAAACGGG
rnacentral:rRNA from 1 species